UACGUAGGGUGCGAGCGUUGUCCGGAAUUAUUGGGCGUAAAGAGCUUGUAGGUGGUUUGUCGCGUCUGCUGUGAAAAUCCGGGGCUCAACCCCGGACUUGCAGUGGGUACGGGCAGACUAGAGUGUGGUAGGGGGAGACUGGAAUUCCUGGUGUAGCGGUGGAAUGCGCAGAUAUCUGGAGGAACACCGAUGGCGAAGGCAGGUCUCUGGGCCAUUACUGACACUGAGAAGCGAAAGCAUGGGGAGCGAACAGG
rnacentral:rRNA from 1 species